rnacentral:rRNA from 1 species
GAGGUGGACGACGCUUUGCGCGUUCCCCU